CGGUUUCAUAACUAAUAUGGCACACUAGCUUAGAUAAGGAUGUCUUGAUCUGGGGUACCAGGUUACUAUAUUACAGGCUAGGAAAAUAUGCUAGUAAAAUUAUUAUUAAAUGCAAGUUGUAAAUGGCUCUGUGAGGCUAAGUUAUGUGGCAAAGAUAAGUAAGGCACCCCUACGGGAAACAAAACAGCUUGAAGAACAUUAAAACAACGUGGCUCAAUAGGAGCCUAGUGGGGGCUUCCUAACCAGGCUAGGUAAAUCUGAGGACCUCUGGCUUUGAACUGGCCUCCGGCACAACAUUUAUCCGUGUGUGACUGGUUUAAGAGAGAGACCAUCCAGACGAGCAUGGUUGCCCCAGUGUGGGACUAAGGUGUUUUAUGCUAGUCUGUAAGAUACCAACUUUUGCUGAGUCCGUGUUUCUGAUAGCAUAGCAUUGUUCAGUGUCCAUAGUCCUUGGUGAGAUGGUAACUGAGAUACUUUAUGUCUCCGUCUGCAUGGGGUAAAUAUCCCUGCGUCUCAAACAGGGUCGCAGGCCGUGGGCCUCUGUGUGGAUCAGUCCGUUUCUCUUCACCCGAUGCCUUUUCUAGCGUGGCGGGACAUGUGCCCCUUCGAGGUUCCCUCUCCUGUGGGCCGUGGAGGGACUGUCCGCCAUUUUCGCCCACCAGCCAAC